rnacentral:lncRNA from 1 species
AUUAAGUCACACUUAAUACAUUAAACGGACUAUCUAUUCCAGGGACUUUAUUAAUCAACCAUAAUAAAGAAAAUACCUUUUAUUAUUAAUAAAUAAUUCGAUACAAGUACCAAAAAAUAUUGGCCUCUAGGGCUUACACCAACAAUAUGAGCGUCACCCCCUUACGAACUCUCAUUUUUCUCUCUUCUUUCUCUAUUUUCACUCUGAUC